rnacentral:rRNA from 1 species
AACGAACGCUGGCGGUAUGCUUAACACAUGCAAGUCGAACGGCAGCACGGACUUCGGUCUGGUGGCGAGUGGCGAACGGGUGAGUAAUGUAUCGGAACGUGCCCAGUCGUGGGGGAUAACGUAGUGAGAAUUACGCUAAUACCGCAUACGAUCUAUGGAUGAAAGCGGGGGAUCGCAAGACCUCGCGCGAUUGGAGCGGCCGAUAUCAGAUUAGGUAGUUGGUGGGGUAAAGGCCCACCAAGCCAACGAUCUGUAGCUGGUCUGAGAGGACGACCAGCCACACUGGAACUGAGACACGGUCCAGACUCCUACGGGAGGCAGCAAUGGGGAAUUUUGGACAAUGGGCGAAAGCCUGAUCCAGCCAUUCCGCGUGCAGGAUGAAGGCCCUCGGGUUGUAAACUGCUUUUGUACAGAACGAAAAGGUUUCUACUAAUACUAGGAGCUCAUGACGGUACUGUAAGAAUAAGCACUGGCUAACUACGUGCCAGCCGCCGCCGUAA